UAUUACAUCGAUGACCCUUGACCUGUGAUAAGCAGCCGCAUAAUGACCAUGUUGCACACUUGAUAUUGUUUAACUUUGGCAUGGAACAGAAUAACGCGCGUCUAUACCAAGGUCACACUCAACCCUCUGCAAAGGUGAUUAGUAGCCUACUAUAUAGAAAACAGAUGGAAAAAGUAAGAGGAAAAGAUUAGUACGUUCAUUUGGCAGAUGCUUUUAACAAAGCGUCCUAACAAUAAUGUAACUGCAAUAAUGGCAUAAACAUGAGUGACGGAAAUGUUAGUUUUAACCUACGCACGGGCGGCACCAGCGGGAAAUUAACCCUGGCACUGGUGGACCAACCCAGGAUCGUAUUAAUAGACAAAUCUUUUUUUUUUUUGUCCCAAAUGUAAAUUAAAUAUCAGGUAAAUGUCAAAUGUUCAAAGGGACAGAGUCCAAACUACAUCCAAUUUAAAGGUCCCAUUGCAUGAAAAUGUCACUUGAUGAGGUUUUCUAACAUUAAUAUCAGUUCCCCUAGCCUGCCUAUGGUCCCCCAGUAUCUAGAAAUGGCGUUAUGUGUAAAACGAACACUAGGUAUCCCGGUCUGCCUUUUGAAAAAACAAAGCUCAGACGCGCCGAUUUGGAAUUUUGACAUGUUACCAUCCCUUUCACUGCUUUGCCCUCCAAGAGAAUUUGGCCAGCCAAUGAGACAAUGAGCUACGACCGUGCGAGCGCCACAUGUGUUGGGGGUUAUCUCAGUUAUGGUUGAGAAGGAAUUGGGGGAAAGGAACUUUGGCUUUGACUCCCUGAAGUACAUGAACCGCGACAUGGAGGAGAAAGGGAUUGUUGCACACGAUUGGGGCGGUGGUGCGUUGGGGCUCCGGUGGGAGAAAAUCACUUUUAACAAUCGAGAGCAACAAUCCCUUUCUUCCCCAUGUCGCGGUACAUUCUACUUCAGAAUGACGUGGAAGUGGAAGAACCAGAGACGUCGGAGAACCCGACACAGUCGUUUGAGGAUUCAUAAUAUCGUCUGGAGGCGCAGACAGCUUUUGGCCCUGAUAAUAUAUAUUAUAUGAUAUAGAUAUCUAUGUAUAAUAUGAUGUUAUUUAGAUAUAGAGCUCCAGGACCGCCGGAGCAACCGGAAUGUUCUAGAAUAUUUUACAGAACACGGCCAAAAGCUGUGUGCGCCUCGCCAUUGCGAUACAUCCACUGUAAACGCGAGCGCAUGGUACCGUGGCCGCAAGCUACUCAGGGCCACACCCCCACCCUCCACCUUGA